CCUACGGGAGGCUGCAGUGAGGAAUAUUGGUCAAUGGGCGGGAGCCUGAACCAGCCAAGUCGCGUGAGGGAAGACGGUCCUAUGGAUUGUAAACCUCUUUAGGCGGGGAGCAAUGCCGGGCACGCGUGCCCGGAGGGAGAGUACCCGCAGAAUAAGACUCGGCUAACUCCGUGCCAGCAGCCGCGGUAAUACGGAGGGUGCGAGCGUUAUCCGGUCUUAUGGGGUUUAAAGGGUGCGUAGGCGGAUUUUUAAGUCAGCGGUAAAAGGUCCGGGCUCAACCCGGGCCGGCCGUUGAAACUGGGGAUCUUGAGUGGGCGAGAAGUAGGCGGAAUGCGUGGUGUAGCGGUGAAAUGCAUAGAUAUCACGCAGAACUCCGAUUGCGAAGGCAGCAUACCGGCGCCCGACUGACGCUGAGGCACGAAAGCGUGGGGAUCGAACAGGAUUAGAUACCCGAGUAGUC
rnacentral:rRNA from 1 species